UUUGUGCAUGUAAAAUUCGAGAUCUAUAACUUGGAAUAGAGGUUGUGGCUAACGAAUAUAAUCCUGAAUUUCAGAGGGGUGUUUGUAAAAAUUGUUUGCUUGCAUGGUUGGAUUUGAUAUCUUUGAUAACUUGGGGGAAUGAUGGAUAUUGAAGAAGAGAGCCCCAUGUCUGGGUCCUUAAAAGCCAUGACUCUAAUGAUGGGAAGGGGUUUUAGCCUUUUUAUUGUAAAGGUUUCUAACUAAAGAUUUGCAUCACAUAUCCUGAAAAUAAUUUGUUGCAUGUUUCUAGCUAGGUUCAAAAUCAAUGUAAUGAAAUUGUUGAUCCUGGUUUGCAAUCACUUUCUUGGGGUCCUUCAAACAAAGCAACAAGUUAUCCAAUUUAUAAAGUAAAUGGAUAUACAUUUCAUACCCUUGCAAGGUCAAAAGGAAAAAAAACCGAUAACACCGGUGUGUUUGUUAAAGGUGAUAUAGGCAGCGGGGAAAGUGAUUGGUUUGGAGUAUUAGAAGAUAUACUCGAGCUUGAAUACACUGGUAGUGACUAUAAUCGAGUUGUUUUAUUCAAAUGUCAAUGGUAUGAUCCAAGUCGUCCAAAUGGAACACGUAUUCAUAAUGACUACAAAAUAACUGAAGUCAACCAUAGUAAAAGAUAUCGCCACUAUGAUCCUUUCAUUGUCGCCCAAAAAGCUAAACAAGUUUACUUCUUACCUUAUCCUGGAAAUUGCAAGUCUAUGUGGCGUGUUGUUGUAAACACUAAACCAAGAGGUCGAAUUGAAAUCAAUCAUGUACAUGUAGAGGAGGAUGAGGAAGAGAAUGAUGUAGCUUAUCAAGCGGAUGAGAGCAAUCCUUCUAGGAUUUCUGACACCGAGCCUCCUAUCAGUCUUAAGUCUCCAUUUGGAGAGGACCGCAUUGUCGAAUUGUCCAUCGGCUCUAGUUCUGGGGCUAAUAAAAAUGAAGAUGAUGAUGUUGCAGACUUUGAUGAUGAUAUUGAUUUUUAAUAGGGUGAGGGUUUACACAGCAUCAAAAGUUGAUGAAGAGUUAGAAGCAGCAAAGAGAGAGUAUUUACAGGCGGCAGUUGGCAUCACAAAGGGGAACAAGUUGAUAAUUCCAAAGUUGCUUGACUGGAGGCACAACUUAUUUCUGUAGACUCCCUUGGGUUUGAUCUAAGAGUUUGAUCUUCUGAUUAUCUCGAAUCAUGGCUCCUCGGGUCAAGGGUAAAGGUGUCAAGGGUCAUAGAGGUUCUCGAACCACCGCCGCAGCCGCUAUUACCACCAACUCCACCUCUUUUGGGACUUCAGUUGUGCCAGAUUUUCAGUCAGGACCACUUACCCAGCAACCAUAUUUGAUGGUGCCUAAUCCAGGCUACAUUGGUCUUCCUCCACCAACUUGGCCUACUCCAGGAUGUAUGGGCCCUCCACCACCCCCUCUUCCAAUUUCGAUUCCUCCUCCGUCUCGCAAUUCCAGCCUAUUAGUUGAUUCAGAGACACCUGGAAGCUCUAGUACAUCUCCUCCAUCAGAAACUGCAUCGGUUCCUAAUGUUGUCAC